rnacentral:rRNA from 1 species
AGCGAACGCUGGCGGCAGGCCUAACACAUGCAAGUCGAACGAACCUUUCGUGGGUAGUGGCGGACGGGGGAGUAACACGUGGGAACGUGCCGUUAGGCUCGGAAUAACUCAUGGAAACUGGUGCUAAUACCGAAUGUGUCCUGCUGGGGAAAGAUUUAUCGCCUCUAGAGCGGCCCGCGUCUGAUUAGCUAGUUGGUUGAGGUAAUGGCUCACCAAGGCGACGAUCAGUAGCUGGUAUGAGAGGAUGAUCAGCCACAUUGGGACUGAGACACGGCCCAAACUCCUACGGGAGGCAGCAAUGGGGAAUCCUGCGCAAUCGGCGAAAGCAUGACGGCGCCAUGCCGCGUGAGUGCUGAAGGUCUUAGGAUUGUAAAAUUCUUUCACCGGGGACGAUACUGACGGUACCCGAAGAAGAAGCCCCGGCUAACUUCGUG